rnacentral:rRNA from 1 species
AUGGAUCAUAUUAGUUGGAGGUUGGGGAAGAAAGGUAAAUUCUCGACCAAAUCGGUCUAUACCUAUUUGGAGAGAACCCUGGCGGGGUGCGAUUUCAGAUGGAUAUGGAAAGCAAAAAUCCCUCUUAAGAUUCAGAUCUUUCUUUGGCGAUUGUUCCAAGACGCGGUUUUGACUCGAGAUGUCAUGAGAAGGCGAAAAUGGGCAGGAAAUUCUAAGUGCUCGUUCUGCAAUGAGGUGGAAACCUCACAACACCUUUUCUUUACUUGUCCUGUUGCUCGGGUGGUUUGGAGGACGAUUGGGUGUGUGUUAGGCACAUCGUUGUGUCCAAACAACCUUUGGCAGUACUUCUCCUGGUGUUACAUUUUCCUUCCUGAUGGGGCAAAAUUCUAUACGUUUGGCUUGGCAGCUAUAUGCUGGGAAAUUUGGAUCAGUCGCAAUCAGGCUACCUUUGAGCACAAAUCUCUUAAAAGUCCUUUUAAUGUGGUGUAUGCUGCUUGUGGCUUUUUGACAUACUGA